rnacentral:rRNA from 1 species
AUGAACGCUGGCGGCGUGCCUAAUACAUGCCAGUCGAGCGAACGGACGAGAAGCUUUCUUCUCUGAUGUUAGCGGCGGACGGGUGAGUAACACGUGGAUAACCUACCUAUAAUUCUGGGAUAACUUCGGGAAGCCGUAGCUAAUACCGGAUAAUAUUUUGAACCGCAUGGUUCAAAAGUUAAAGACGGUCUUGCUUUCACUUAUAGAUGGAUCCUCGCUGCAUUAGCUAGUUGGUAAGGUAACGGCUUACCAAGGCAACGAUGCAUAGACGACCUGAGAGGGUGAUCGGCCACACUGGAACUGAGACACGGUCCAGACUCCUACGGGAGGCAGCAGUAGGGAAUCUUCCGCAAUGGGCGAAAGCCUGACGGAGCAACGCCGCGUGAGUGAUGAAGGUCUUCGGAUCGUAAAACUCUGUUAUUAGGGAAGAACAUAUGUGUAAGUAAAUGUGCACAUCUUGACGGUACCUAAUCAGAAAGCCACGGCUAACUACGUG